rnacentral:rRNA from 1 species
UAAUACGUAGGGGGCAAGCGUUGUCCGGAAUCAUUGGGCGUAAAGAGCGUGUAGGCGGCCAUCUAAGUCUGCUGUGAAAGUCCAGGGCUCAACCCUGGGAUGCCGGUGGAUACUGGAUGGCUCGAGUCCGGAAGAGGAGUGUGGAAUUCCUGGUGUAGCGGUGAAAUGCGCAGAUAUCAGGAGGAACACCGAUGGCGAAGGCAGCACUCUGGGACGUGACUGACGCUGAGACGCGAAAGCGUGGGGAGCAAACAGGAUUAGAUACCCUGGUAGUCCACGCCGUAAACGAUGGGCACUAGGUGUGGGAGGUGUCGACUCCUCCCGUGCCGAAGCUAACGCAUUAAGUGCCCCGCCUGGGGAGUACGGCCGCAAGGCUA